rnacentral:rRNA from 1 species
GAACCAGUACUGUGAAGGAAAGGCGAAAAGAACCCCGGGAGGGGAGUGAAAUAGAUCCUGAAACCGCAUACAUACAAACAGUAGGAGCCUCUUUAUGGGGUGACUGCGUACCUUUUGCAUAAUGGGUCAGCGACUUACGUUUAGCGGCAAGCUUAACCGAUUAGGGGAGGCGCAGCGAAAGCGAGUUCGAACAGAGCGACUGAGUCGUUAGGCGUAGACCCGAAACCAGAUGAUCUAUCCAUGGCCAGGUUGAAGGUGUGGUAACACACACUGGAGGACCGAACCGACUAGUGUUGCAAAAUUAGCGGAUGAGCUGUGGAUAGGGGUGAAAGGCUAAACAAAUCUGGAGAUAGCUGGUUCUCCCCGAAAACUAUUGAGGUAGUGCCUCGUGUAUGACUCCAGGGGGUAGAGCACUGUUAUGGCUAGGGGGACAUGGCGUCUUACCAAACCAUGGCAAACUCCGAAUACUUGGAAGUUUGAGCACGGGAGACAGAGCACCGGGUGCUAACGUCCGGACUCAAAAGGGAAACAACCCAGACCGCCGGCUAAGGUCCCUAAUAUUGACUAAGUGGAAAACGAAGUGGGAAGGCUAAGACAGUCAGGAAGUUGGCUUAGAAGCAGCCAUCCUUCAAAGAAAGCGUAAUAGCUCACUGAUCGAGUCUUCCUGCGCGGAAGAUGUAACGGGGCUAAGUCAAUAACCGAAGCCGCGGAUUCACGACUUGUCGUGAGUGGUAGGGGAGCGUUCUGUAAGCCUGCGAAGGCGGUUCGUAAGGACUGCUGGAGGUAUCAGAAGUGCGAAUGCUGACAUGAGUAACGUUAAAGCAGGUGAAAAGCCUGCUCGCCGUAAGCCCAAGGUUUCCUGCUCUACGUUCAUCGGAGCAGGGUGAGUCGGCCCCUAAGGCGAGGCUGAGAAGCGUAGCUGAUGGGAACAAGGUUAAUAUUCCUUGACCGCCGUUGAGUGCGAAGGGGGGACGGAGUGUUGAAGAUCAUCCGGGUGUUGGAUGUCCCGGUUUGUGAACGUAGGAGGCCGGCAGGCAAAUCCGCCGGCGUAUCUCCGAGGUGAAGCAUCGAGGUCCGUAUGGACCGAAGUGAUCGGAUGGGCUCCCAGGAAAAGCCUCUAAGCUCCAGCUCAACGGGACCGUACCGCAAACCGACACUGGUGGGCGAGCUGAAUAUGCUCAGGCGCUUGAGAGAACUCAGGAGAAGGAACUCGGCAAAUUGACACCGUAACUUCGGGAUAAGGUGUGCCUCGGUAGCGUGAAGGAAGAAACAUCCGGAGCGUGAAGAGGUCUCAGAGAAUCGGUGGCUGCGACUGUUUACUAAAAACACAGCACUCUGCAAAGACGAAAGUCGACGUAUAGGGUGUGAUGCCUGCCCGGUGCUGGAAGAUUAAUUGAUGGGGUGCAAGCUCCUGAUCGAAGUCCCAGUAAACGGCGGCCGUAACUAUAACGGUCCUAAGGUAGCGAAAUUCCUUGUCGGGUAAGUUCCGACCUGCACGAAUGGCAUAAUGAUGGCCACACUGUCUCCUCCCGAGACUCAGUGAAGUUGAAGUGUUUGUGAUGAUGCAAUCUCCCCGCGGCUAGACGGAAAGACCCCAUGAACCUUUACUGUAGCUUUGCAUUGGACUUUGAACCGAUCUGUGUAGGAUAGGUGGGAGGCUGUGAAACCGGGACGCCAGUACCGGUGGAGCCGUCCUUGAAAUACCACCCUGAUUUGUUUGAGGUUCUAACCUAGGUCGGUGAUCCCGAUCGGGGACCGUGCAUGGUAGGCAGUUUGACUGGGGCGGUCUCCUCCUAAAGGGUAACGGAGGAGUGCGAAGGUACGCUAGGUACGGUCGGAAAUCGUGCUGAUAGUGCAAUGGCAAAAGCGUGCUUGACUGCGAGACCCACAAGUCGAGCAGAUACGAAAGUAGGUCAUAGUGAUCCGGUGGCUCUGUAUGGAAGGGCCAUCGCUCAACGGAUAAAAGGUACUCUGGGGAUAACAGGCUGAUACCGCCCAAGAGUUCAUAUCGACGGCGGUGUUUGGCAC